rnacentral:lncRNA from 1 species
AUGAAAAGGACCUUUAUUUAAGGUAUAAGAACGGAGACAAGAAGGCGGAGCGUGGCCUUGUCGUCCUCGGCUGGGAAGAUGCAUGUUGGGCAACUCAACUUUUUCGCCACUCUCUUACUCAUUAAUAUUCCCUGUGCUCAGGGAACAAGGGACAGGGGACAAGGCCUGGCACAGAUUGGCACCUUGCGAAUGGCUGACCUGGAAAAAUUGGGACCAGGAGCGAAUCGAGCUUCCCACCCCAAACUUCUCCCAACACCACGUAGAAGGAAAUGGACACGUGAA